rnacentral:lncRNA from 1 species
GGAGAUAUCACCUUUUAUUGGUACAGCAAGGGAAGGUGUUGCACGGUUUCAGUGGAACCGCACGCUUUUUGGGGGAUGCGUGGGCGCAGGAGAAACGAGUUCAGGUAUGACUGAGGAUAUUUUAGUAAAUUUGGCAUUUGUCAAGCAAUUAGGAUCUUUUUGGUAGGUUUGCCGAAUAUUAUUAUCAUUAUAUAUUUUGUAGUAAGCGGUAGGUAAAGAUGGUUGUUGUUAAACCCUAGG